rnacentral:rRNA from 1 species
NUUCCUUUAUUACAUCUUCAAAAGGGGUGCUUACAUCCUCUUCUUCUAUCUAAAUUGCUACUUAAUUACUGUCUCCCCCCCAGCGUGAGAUUUUCUUCUAUUUCUUUUCUUUUAACUCAUAUAUCCUCCUUACUAUUCUCGCUAGUCCUGUACUUUAUUAUACCUCUUGUCUCUUCUCUUUCCCGGUGCCAAACAAGAAGUGAAUAGAUGAUGAAUACCAUCAAUACAUUGGACCAAUGCUUUCCUCUACUAACACUACUAUCCCGCUAUCCCCCAAGCCAGUCGUAUCUCAUACCUCUACCCGAUAUACAGUACGUGGGCAUUCCACCGCUGCUCUUACCAAAUCUCUCUAUCCUGUCUAACUGUUCUCAUGGUUCGACUCCAUACACAUGUCUGUGAACAUGCAAUCCCUACAUUCCUUCAUCCUGCUUACCCUAUCAUUACCAAUAUUCCUAAUUUCCUCUUUACUCUCCACGACUACUACUCUUAUUCUAACCAUGUGCACAUGUAUGACCAUCAAUCUACUCCUCUUAUAACACAAUAUACUGCUACACUCCUUCAUUACCCCCUUUUCUUUUCUAUUCCACCUUCCAAUCCAUCUAUAUUUUCAUUAAUUCUUAUUUUAAUCUCCAUUCUCUAUAUUCCUACUCUUCCUCCUCUUCAAUCGUAUCCAUAUCUCCUUAUAGAAUCCGACUCCUAUAGAUGUAACUACUCCCUAUAUAACCUUAGCAAAUGCACGCUCUUAUUACGUCAUUAUAUUCUCUUUAUUUCUCACUAUUCAUACACCCUCUUUCAACUUUACUUAUCCAAUAGCUUAUCCUCCCUCCCUCUCUCUUGACGCUUUCUUCCUUACCUGAUCCUCUUAUUUACUCUUUUAUUCCUUCACUUCACCCCCUCUUAUUUUAUUCCUCCCUUAUGUUUAUCCU